CCCUACUCCCUGUAUAGGUCUGUGGGACAGGGGAGGGUGGGAUGGGCUGUUCCACAUGCUACUCUCUACCCCCCUACUCCCUGUAUAGGUCUGUGGGACAGGGGAGGGUGGGAUGGGCUGUUCCACAUGCUACUCUCUACCCCCCCUACUCCCUGUAUAGGUCUGUGGGACAGGGGAGGGUGGGAUGGGCUGUUCCACAUGCUACUCUCUCCCCCCCCCUACUCCCUGUAUAGGUCUGUGGGACAGGGGAGGGUGGGAUGGGCUGUUCCACAUGUCAUUGCUUUCAACCUGAUGAUUCUAGUUUUUAUUUGUACCUUUUUUUUAAAUUAUAAUUUCCAUUAAAACUCUCUUGUUUUAAAUAAUGCCGUCUCUCUCUGUGUGUGUGUGUGUGUGUGUGUGUGUGUGUGUGUGUGUGUGUGUGUGUCACGGGGGUGGGAUCUGAACCGGUGUCUCCCAUUGGAGAAACAAACGUCUUGACCGUUUAGACCAGGAAGACAGUUUGAAUUCUGCUGCCUCAUCUGACCGCGAACCAGAC
rnacentral:lncRNA from 1 species